GAGCUGGGAGCCUGUUGGCAGGUCCCUCUUUUUAUUUUCGCUGAGAGCUUUCUUUUACUAAAUGCCAUCAUCCUUACCUUUCAAUGUGUCUGCGUGCCUAAUUUUUCCUGGUUGUUAGACAAGAACCCGGAUUUUAGUUGAACUCUGGAGCAAAAAUCCUGCAUCAUUUGUAGGUGGGUGUCAUUGUGACUGGCUGCUACCUCCCCAUGAGUCUUCUAAAAUAAAACCUGCAAAUUCACAUCUUCCCCAUGCUUCCAGAGAAUGCAUAUUCUUCCUUUGAAAAAAGAAAACCAGCACUGUUCAUAAUAGCCAAGAUUUGGAAGCCACCUAAGUGUCCAUCAACAGAUGAAUGGAGAAACUGUGGUACAUAUACACAACGGAGUGCUAUUCAGCCAUAAAAAAGAAUGAUACUCUGUCAUCUGCAACAACAUGAAUGGAACUGGAGAUCAUUAUGUUGUUAAAUAAGCCAGACACAGAAAGACAAACAUCACAUAUUUUCACUUAUUUUUGGGAUAUAAAAGUCAAAACAAUUAAACUCAUGGAGAUAGAGAACAGAUAGACGGUUACCAGAGGCUAGGAGGAGGAGUGGUGGGGGGGAGUUAGUGAUGGUUAAUUGGUACAAAAAAAUGGUUAGAAAUAAUAAAUAAGACCUAGUAUUAGAUAGGACAACAGGAGGACUAUGGUCAAAAAUAAUUUAUUUGUACAUUUCAAAGUAACUAAAAGAGUGUAAUUGUAUUAUUUGUAGCACAUAGGAUAAAUGCUUGAGGUGACGGAUACCCCACUUACCCUGAUGUGAUUAUUACACAUCGUAUGCCUGUACCAAAAGAUCUCAUGUACCUCAUAAAUACAUACACCUACUAUGUACCCACACAAAUUAAAAAUUAAAAAAAAUUAAAGAAAUUACAGUUCGUUGGUUUUGAAUAUUUGACCAAAUUUUUUACUAAGCACAGAUAGAUUGAAUAUAAUUUUAUUGUCCUUUUGACAUUAUGAUAAUGAAGGUAUCUACACAGAAGUCUGAGAUGAGAAAAAAAUGAUAUAAUAUCCACCUACUACAUAGUGGGUAGUUUAUAUACUAAAGUUAUUGUUAUGAGAAAGAAUGGCUUAGGAAUAUUAUUUAAAAUUAUUAAGGAGUGUUAAAAAUAAAAUACCAAGUGUAAAAAUGACAAAGGCAAGAAGAAACAGUAUAUAAUGUGAGUAAAUUUUAAUCUUUCCAAGAGAGGAGACAGUACAUAAUGUCUAAAAUUGUUAAACCAUAAAAUAGAAAUAUAGUUAUUUUAUUCAUAAUUAAGGAGAUAACUACUAUAGCACGAAAUCGUGCCAAAAAUGGUUGCCUCUGGGAAAUGUGAUUAUAGAUAUUAUAAUAUUUUGGACUGUAAAAAUCUGCUUUUAAGACUGAGGAAAUACAAAUAGGACAAUAUUUAUUUGAAAUUUGUAUCCUCAGGGAGUGUAAAGAAAUUAAUGUAUCCACAAAAUAAUAAUAGCUGCUAUUUGAAAACAUAGUUUUCUUGAAAGUUAAAAUAGUAAUAGUCUUCUAAAAAUUUUGUUAGUUUUGGUUUUCUCUUUAAUCUGAGUUAUGUAGAAAAGUGCUUAUUUCAAAUUAGGUAGGCUUAUUUUAUUCCUUUUUCUGUCUUUUUUCUAUCAACUAGUGUUUUAUUGUGUUCAGAAAAUGCCAUGCAUUAAAAGACUACUUUUGAGAAUUUCUAGAGAUUUUCUUUGUUACUAAAGAGAUUUUUGUAAUUGUUACAUGGGAUUUUAAAAAGAAUGUAAAUUAUCCUUUUUGUCAAGUAUAAUGAUUUCUGAAACCUAGCUGUGUCAGAAUACUGUAUAAUACUGUAAUAGUAUAUUGUUUUUGGCUAUGUGUACUUAUUUCUUAGAGUGGUAUGUUAAAGCCUCGACCUUGUGACUUUGUUUAUUUCUCUCUCUACAUCUAAACAUUUCCAAGACACGUUAUUUGCAAUACCAAGACCAUAACUAUUAUGUAUUUAAUCAAAAUAAAAUAUUUCGGCUCUCUGU
rnacentral:antisense_RNA from 1 species